GACGUAGGGCGCGAGCGUUGUCCGGAUUUAUUGGGCGUAAAGAGCUCGUAGGCGGCUUGUCGCGUCGACCGUGAAAACUUGGGGCUCAACCCCAAGCCUGCGGUCGAUACGGGCAGGCUCGAGUUCGGUAGGGGAGACUGGAAUUCCUGGUGUAGCGGUGAAAUGCGCAGAUAUCAGGAGGAACACCGGUGGCGAAGGCGGGUCUCUGGGCCGAAACUGACGCUGAGGAGCGAAAGCGUGGGGAGCGAACAGG
rnacentral:rRNA from 1 species